GAUGAACGCGGCGGCGUGCUUAACACACGCAAGUCGAACGAUGAAGCCCAGCUUGCUGGGCGGAUUAGUGGCGAACGGGUGAGUAACACGUGAGUAACCUGCCCUUGACUCUGGGAUAAGCCCGGGAAACUGGGUCUAAUACCGGAUAGGAGCGCCUGUCGCAUGACGGGUGCUGGAAAGAUCUUUCGGUCAUGGAUGGACUCGCGGCCUAUCAGCUUGUUGGUGAGGUAACGGCUCACCAAGGCGACGACGGGUAGCCGGCCUGAGAGGGUGACCGGCCACACUGGGACUGAGACACGGCCCAGACUCCUACGGGAGGCAGCAGUGGGGAAUAUUGCACAAUGGGCGAAAGCCUGAUGCAGCGACGCCGCGUGAGGGAUGACGGCCUUUCGGGUUGUAAACCUUCUUUUCAAGUAAGGGAAAGA
rnacentral:rRNA from 1 species